GCCAAAAACUAGCCCCACCACACCUACAAAAUCACAACGCACUUAAACAAAACAUUUGAUAAUUCUAGUACUUGCGACUGAACAAAAACACGGGCGCAAUAGCGACAAAUACCGCAAGGGAAUGUUGAAAGAUUAAUGAAACAAACAGCAAUAAAACAGCAAAGAUUAACCCUUGUACCUCUUGCAUCAUGGUUUAGCAAGAAACUGCAGACAAAGAGCCCUUAAGCCUGCCACCCCGAAAUCAAGCGAGCUAUCUAAGAGCAACCGAUCAGGGUGAACCCGUCUCUGUAGCAAAAGAGUGGGAAGACUCCUAGAUAGAGGUAAAAAGCCUAACGAGCUUUGAUCAUAGCUGGUUGCCCGAUAAAUGAACCUAAGUUCAACCUUAGGCUACCAAACGCCAACUUCAUAGCAACUCCUCCAAGCCUAAGAGAUAUUCAACGGGGGUACAGCCCCAUUGAUACAGAAUACAACCUGUUAUAGAGAGUAAACUUAAACCCUCAAACCAGUGGGCCUUAAAGCAGCCACCUGUAAUAAAAGCGUCACAGCACACAACUCAAAAAUCCCGAAAACACCAAGCUUCUCCUAUAAUUAACCCGGGCCAUCCUAUUAAACAAUAGAAGAACUACUGCUAAAACUAGUAACAAGACCCAGUCUCUUAAGCAGACCUUUAACUCAGUAAUAGAAAAACUACUGACAAUUAACAACCGAAUUGGAAGCCCACAACCACAUCCACCAAACCACUGUUACUCCAACACAGGGCUGCCUACAAGAAAGAUUAAAAACUGUAAAAGGAAUUCAGCUAACCUAGCCCCAACUGUUUACCAAAAACAUAGCCUUUAGCCUUACAAGUGUUAAAGGUCCCGCCUGCCCAGUGACAUGAUUCAACGGCCGCGGUAUUCUAACCGUGCAAAGGUAGCGUAAUCACAUGUCUCCUAAAUAGAGACCAGUAUGAACGGCUAAAUGAGGGCUAACCUGUCUCUUACACUCAAUCAGUGAAACUGAUCUCCCAGUACAAAAGCUGGGAUAUGCACAUAAGACGAGAAGACCCUGUGGAGCUUUAAAUAUCCAUCACACGCCAGUAAAUGAUGCUAAUUUAAGUUGGGGCGACUUCGGGAAAAAACUAAACUCCCGAGCAAAUGGCCAUCAACCAUACAAAGGCCUACAAGCCAAAGUAUUUAUAAUUCAACUGACCCAGUCAAACUGAGCAACGAACCAAGUUACCCCAGGGAUAACAGCGCCAUCUUCUUCAAGAGUCCCUAUCGCCAAGAAGGUUUACGACCUCGAUGUUGGAUCAGGACAUCCUAAUGGUGCAGCCGCUAUUAAGGGUUCGUUUGUUCAACGAUUAACAGUCCUACGUGAUCUGAGUUCAGACCGGAGUAAUCCAGGUCAAGACUGG
rnacentral:rRNA from 1 species